AAACUGUAGGCUGCAAAUACAUUUUGUGAAUUAUUUUCUGGGUGAGUGGAUGAGUUGUUGUGUCUCUAAAAUGUGGAUCAAUGUUUCCCAAAGCCAAAGAUAAUGUCCUAAAAGAAUUGAGUU